UGGAGCUCUGUUGGCAUUGUUCAGAGAAACUACAUCACGUUUACUGAAUUGUCAGAAUUCUGAAGCAAAUUACAAGUGGUGAAUAAACAAUUUGGAGAAGGACUUGGGAGAAUAUGUAAUGGGAAUGAAUUUUCUCAACUCUAUAAUGGCAUCUAAUUCAGCUGUGGAAAUUGACAGUGAAAGUGAUAACUCUUCUGGUAGCAGCUUAUUUAAAACUCAGUGUGUCCCUUACUAACCUAAAAGGAUGCAAAGAAACCAUACUAGAAAGUUUGUUCAUUCACCUGAAGUUGCUCAAGCAAGGGAUUCAUCUAGUGACUCAUUUUUCAAACCAAGACCAUUGACUUUAAAAGCUAUUUUUGAGAGAUUCAAAAAAAGAAAACGUAAAAAGAAGAAAUACAAACCAACAGGAAGACCAAGAGGAAGACCAAAAGGGAGAAAAAACAGUAGACUUUCCCAAAUAAAUAAGAAACAAGUUCAAGACAAAGGAUCUGGGUUCCCAUUUUUAGAAUCUGAGAAUGCAAGAAAACCAUUACCUUGGAGAAAGAUUUUAACCUUUGAGCAAGCAGUGGCAAGAGGAUUUUUCAACUACCUUGAAAAACUGAAGUAUAAAUACUACCUCAAGGAAUCCUUGAAACAAAUUAAUGUUGGUGAAGAUUUAGAAAAAGAAGAUUUUGACAGUCAUAGAUACAAAUACUUGGAUGAUGAUGGAGCUCUCUCGCCUAUUGAAGAGUCAGAAACAGAGGAUGGGUCUGCAACAAAUCUUGACCAAAAUGACGAAUGUGAUAUCAAAUUGGUGGACCAAAAUGAUUUCAUUAUAAGUUCUCAAGUACCAAAGAUGAAGAAUGUGUAUUUAGAACAAGAAGAAUGUACUGAAGAAGCUGCUUUGUCUAAAAAGAGAGAAUCAAAGUCUAAAAACAUUGGACAGAGGAUAGAAUGGCCUGAAAAGAGAUGGGAAUAUGAAUGUUAA